rnacentral:tRNA from 1 species
GGGAGUUUAGCUCAGUCGGUUAGAGCACUGUGUUGAUAACGCAGGGGUCCUAGGUUCGAGUCCUAGAAUUCCCA